rnacentral:lncRNA from 1 species
AGUGCAUCCAUAGGUAGAUUCUUAACCAAUUAUUUUUUCAAGUAAUUUCUAGCAAUUAAAUUUUGCCCCAGACAUCUCUUCAGCAGGCGUGUGGCACCUCCACUAAAAAUCUUGAUUAAGUCUAAUCAUUAACAUGACAACACUAAGUGUAUUCAAUAAAUGAAUGCCUAGACCUGAGCGUGGCUCAACCAACCUGACCGUUGAUCUGUAGGGCACAAUAAGGUAGUCAUAUGAUGAAUGAUAAUUUCAAUAUCCAAUAGACACC